rnacentral:lncRNA from 1 species
CAGGGGACAUUGGGGACAUCAGGGACAUUGAGGAUAUUGGGGAUAUUGGGGCCAUUGGGGACGUUGGAGACAUUGGGGACAUUGGGGACAUCAGGGACAUCGGGGACAUUGGCGACAGGGAUCACACCGUGUCAUCGUAGCUGGCGCUGGCCAGCAGCUGGGGACACAGAGGACAUUGGGGACACUGGGGACAUCAGGGACAUUGGGGACACAGGGGACAUUGCAGACACAGAGGACAUUGGGGACAUCAGGGGGAUUGGGGACAUUGGGGACACAGGGGACAUUGGGGACAUCAGGGACAUUGGGGACAUCGGGGACAUUGGGGACAGGGAUCACACCGUGUCAUCGUAGCUGGCGCUGGCCAGCAGCUGGGGACACAGGGGACAUUGGGGACAUCAGGGACAUUGGGGACAUUGGGGACAUCAGGGGGAUUGGGGACAUCAGGGACAUUGGGGACACAGAGGACAUUGGGGACAUUGGGGAUAUUGGGGACAUCGGGGACAUUGGGGACACUGGGGACAUUGGGGACACAGGGGACAUCGGGGACAUUGGGGACAGGGAUCACACUGUGUCAUCGUAGCUGGCACUGGCCAGCAGCUGGGGACAGCAACGGGGACAUUGGGGACACUGGGGACAUCGGGGGCACAGGGGACAUUGGGGACAUUGAGGACACAGAGGACAUUGGGGACAUCAGGGACAUUGAGGACAUCAGGGGGAUUGGGGACAUCAGGGACAUUGGGGACAUCGAGGACAUCAGGGACAUUGGGGACAUCAGGGGGAUUGGGGACAUCAGGGACAUUGGGGACAUUGGGGACAUUGAGAACACAGGGGACGUUGGGGACAGCAAUGGGACCCUGGCAGGAUUUGGGGGGUCUUUGGGGUCCCUGUGGGAGUUUGGGGUGUCCCAAGGGUGUCCCCAGGCCCCCCUAGGUGUGUCCCCAUGUGUCCCCAUGCGUCCCCAUGUCCCCCCAGGUGUCCCCAGGUGUGUCCCCAGCACCCCCAGAUGUGUCCCCAAGCCCCCCUAGGUGUGUCCCCAGGUGUCCCCGGGUGUCCCCAGGUGUCCCCCCAGGUGUCCCCAGGUGUACCCAGGCCCCCCUAGGUGUGUCCCCAGGUGUCCCUAUGUCCCCCCAGGUGUCCCCGGGUGUUCCCAGGUGUCCCUGGGUGUCCCCAGGUGUCCCCAGGCCCCCCUAGGUGUGUCCCCAGGUGUCCCCAGGUGUGUCCCCCCCAGGUGUCCCCGGUACCUCCUGGCUCGGGUGCCACACCACGUGUUUGACGUCCUGCGUGUGGGCGCUCAGCACACUGACACACUCGAACUCCUGCUCCUC